AGGGAUCGCCUGUUGUGAGUAUCUUGCUCUGCCACCUGAGGCUACAGUGACAUCUCAGCCCGUGAUGCUGCUGAGGACCAUGCCUGGGUCCACAGCCGUUCAGCAUCAGAUGCAGCUACCUCAUCUAUGAAAUACUGGAGUACACGAAGGGCCAAUCCUACAGAUCCAAAGCUGCGGGAUCAAUAUGACUCAAGAAAAAAACGGAAUAUCCUAGAGGAGACCCAGUAAGGAUCCAGUGUUGAUGGUGUAGCAAAAGCCAGAGAGGCCUUAAACCGGACCAAUGACUCAUUGCAAUGAACGUCUGCAGGAGAGGUCACUUGGGCAGAGAGUGGAUACAAGGGAUGGGAGAUGAGUAGGAUUGGGUGCAUUAUGCGAAAGCCACAAAGAAUCAAUAAAAAUUUUUAAAGAACAA